rnacentral:lncRNA from 1 species
AUUGCGAUUUGAAUCACGAAGAUGUUCCACUACAUCAACCGCGUUAUAUAUGCUUCCGCUUAGCGAUCUACAAGGGUAUGUAGAUUCACUCUCCCCUCUCGUAGAUGAUCAUCACCAUGGAUAGGUAUUGCGUUUGCGUAGGAAUUUUUUUGUUUCCCAUGCUACGUUCCCCAACAGAUCACUUCCUUGGUUUGACUCUAUCGCCCAUGGACCGCAUGGUCUGAAAGGCUUGUGGCCCCCAAGGUUAAAUUCUUCGCUUGGUUAGCCUUACAAUAUUGUAUUUGGACGACUGGCCGAUUGGAGAGGCGCGGUUGGGAAAAAUGUGACCUUUGCCAGCUUUGUAACAGAGAGCAAGAAACGGGGCCUCACCUCUUCUUCAAGUGUCAUUACACACUUAGGCUAUGGAGAUCUAUCGUCGAGAAUCUUGGUCUAACUCACAUCACCGUCUCUGACUGACAGCUUGAUGAAUCCGUCAACGAGUGGUGGGACAAACGGACCGACAACCGGAGCCCGAACUGGCAGGCCAUGACCUCCCUCAUCAUGCUCAUCUCAUGGACUGUCUGGAACGAACGAAAUGCUAGGGUGUUUCGUCAAAAAUUUGCGCCACCACCGGUUGUUCUUGCAUCCAUUCGUGAAAAAGCAAAUCUUUGGGUUAGUGCCGACGCAAAAAAAAAACUUGGGCAUGUAAUAU